rnacentral:rRNA from 1 species
AGCAGUCGCCGCGGUAAAACGAGGGGGGCAAGCGUUGUUCGGAAUUAUUGGGCGUAAAGGGUGCGUAGGCGGUUUGACAAGUCUUAUGUGAAAUCUCUGGGCUCAACCCAGAGUCUGCAUGGGAAACUGUCGAGCUUGAGUAUGGGAGAGGUGAGUGGAAUUUCCGGUGUAGCGGUGAAAUGCGUAGAUAUCGGAAGGAACACCUGUGGCGAAAGCGGCUCACUGGACCAUUACUGACGCUGAUGCACGAAAGCUAGGGGAGCAAACAGGAUUAGAUACCCCAGUAGUCCCUGUCUCUUAUAC